rnacentral:rRNA from 1 species
CCUACGGGUGGGCAGCAUUUUUGAAUAUUUUGCAAUUUUCUCAAUCCUUACCCAUCAACUCCUCUUUAAGGAAGAAGGCUUUCGGGUUGUAAACUUCUUUUAUCAGGGACGAAGCAAGUGGCGGUACCUGAUGAAUAAGCCACGGCUAACUACGUGCCAGCAGCCGCGGUAAGACGUAGGUGGCAAGCGUUAUCCGGAUUUACUGGGUGUAAAGGGCGUGUAGGCGGGAGUGCAAGUCAGAUGUGAAAACUAUGGGCUCAACCCAUAGCCUGCAUUUGAAACUGUACUUCUUGAGUGCUGGAGAGGCAAUCGGAAUUCCGUGUGUAGCGGUGAAAUGCGUAGAUAUACGGAGGAACACCAGUGGCGAAGGCGGAUUGCUGGACAGUAACUGACGCUGAGGCGCGAAAGCGUGGGGAGCAAACAGGAUUAGAUACCCUAGUAGUC